rnacentral:rRNA from 1 species
UACGUAGGGUGCGAGCGUUGUCCGGAAUUACUGGGCGUAAAGAGCUCGUAGGUGGUUUGUCGCGUUGUUCGUGAAAACUCACAGCUUAACUGUGGGCGUGCGGGCGAUACGGGGCAGACUGGAGUACUGCAGGGGAGACUGGAAUUCCUGGUGUAGCGGUGGAAUGCGCAGAUAUCAGGAGGAACACCGGUGGCGAAGGCGGGUCUCGUGGGCAGUAACUGACGCUGGAGGAGCGAAAGCGUGGGGAGCGAACAGG